GACGAACGCUGGCGGCGUGCUUAACACAUGCAAGUCGAACGAAGUGGGAACGGGUGAGUAACACGUGGGUAACCUCCCAUCAGAGGGGAUAACACUUGGAAACAGGUGCUAAACCGAUACUGAUGGAUGGACCCGCGGUGCAUUAGCUAGUUGGUGAGGUAACGGCUCACCAAGGCCACGAUGCAUAGCCGACCGGAGAGGGGGAUCUGCCACACUGGGACUGAGACACGGCCCAGACUCCUACGGGAGGCAGCAGUAGGGAAUAUUGCACAAUGGGCGCAAGCCUGAUGCAGCCAUGCCGCGUGUAUGAAGAAGGCCUUCGGGUUGUAAAGUACUUUCAGCGGGGAGGCGUUACCCGCAGAAGAAGCACCGGCUAACUCCGUGCCAGCCGCCGCGGUAAUAC
rnacentral:rRNA from 1 species